rnacentral:lncRNA from 1 species
UCAGUACUACCCAUAGAAGACUCAAGAAUUCUAAGGGGAUAUCGAAAAUACAAAAAUGUCAACUUUGAGAACUGAACAUACGACCUAAAACAAUUUGUGAGCCACCUUGUUACUACACUGUAAACUUCCCCAUGUCAAAAGAAUUCAACAAUUUGGAUGUAAAAAAGAGAUUAUUUUUUUACGGUAUUUGUGCAGUACAAUUACCCAACAUAGGGGAUUCACUUGAAUCCCUUCCAAUACAUGUAGUUCAGCCUUAAAAUACAAUUGCAACUGACAAAAAACAGGAACCCCACAAGGAAUCCAAUAUUUUGCUUAUCUAAAUGAAAUGCAAAGCAUACUACUGCAAGUUUUCUUUUCUUUUUUUUCUUUUUCAAAAUGUACCAAGUGGUACAUAAACCGCUAAGGGGUCGUUUGGUACGAGCUAUAAGAAAGUAUAAGGGUUGUAUAAAAAUUUAAUACCUCCUUAAUACUCUGCUUCGCUAGCAAACUAGUUAUAAGUUAUCCCGGUAUUAAUUUAAUUUUAAUACCGGGAUAACUUAUACCUUUUAUAAGGUAUGGGGUAAUUAACAUCGGUAUAACUCAUACCUUCUUCUUAGAAAUUGGGUAAUUGUCGUUCUUAAUACAACAUACCAAGCAAUGAAUAAACAAGAAUUUCAUCAUAACUAAUCCCAGCAUAACUUAUCCCAAUAUAAUUUAUACCUGUAUAAAUCGUAUUCGACCAAACGAACCCUAACAGUCUAACACGUUAGAUGCGACUAGCUAUUACUGUUUUUUCUCAUUAUAUUGUGAUUACUGAUGCAUUUUUGACAGUUAGAAAUGAGCUGUGACAAGAUUACAAGUACGAUAUAAGUGUGAUUCACAAUGGUAUAGAUAUUUUUUAUUUUACUCUUUUCACAUUUUCUCUCCAUUGCACCAUAGAGACAGAAAGCAAACAAUUUAAUAAGAGUAGAGCUGGCUUUAUUCUUGUGUCUCGAUAUUAAUUUUCAUGAGAAGAAGAGAUCGUAAUUACUGGAAAUGAAAAUUAUUUGGCAUAGAGAAUUUUUUUUCUUGUAGUUAAAUUAUUUUCUAGUGUUUGGUUACUUUUUUUUUUCUCUAAGAAAAGUAAUUAUGACAAGCUAAAAUGGAUAUAUUACCUACCAGUUCACAAAAUAUUACUAGUACAUAUUUGGAAGUCAUUAUCAUGUUAAUUUCUAAAGAGUCGUGAUUAACAACCUAACAGUCCACAAGAUAACUACAUUAUAUAUGUUAUUAUCAUGUUAAUUGUUCAACAGUUAUACGCACACAUAAGGAUGGAAAAUUUACCACACGGAAAAGGACAAGCAAAGACACUAACUGUCCAGAUAAUUAUUGAUAUUAUCCGCUUUAAGCUAGGCUCAUGCGAUUUUAAAAAAUGCAUCACAAAGAUCUAAGACUAUCAUCCUUAUAUAUCCAACACAACAUUACCUCUGCUAUGUUUUGGCCCAUUGCGAUUUGCCUAGGGUGUUACAUGAGUGUGUUUGAAUUAAUUAGAGCAAAUAAAGGGCAAACCGAUGCACUAAGCUUCCGAUAUGUACGGGGUUUGGGAAGAGCCGGAACAAAAGGGUCUAUUGUAUACCCUCUUACCCAACAUUUCUGUUGUUUCGACAACUUGAACUCAUAACUCGUGACAACAACUUUACGAGUUAAUAAGAAUGGACAUUGGGCCUAACUCAACCCCAAAGCUAGCUUAUGAGGUGAGGAUUGCCCAAGCCAUAUAAGG